UGUUAAAAAAAUUCAUCUUUUUUAUUGUUAAAAAUUGGCAUGGCUUAUAGAAUAACGAAAUAGUGACGCUUUGUGUGCCAUGUGUAUUUCAUGCUCACGCAGGACUAUUUUUUUAAUAGUAGAAAUUGAUGAAAUUCGUAACA
rfam:Gossypium raimondii Chr11_contig_728, whole genome shotgun sequence.